rnacentral:rRNA from 1 species
CCAGCAGCCGCGGUAAUACGGAGGGUGCGAGCGUUGUCCGGAAUCACUGGGCGUAAAGGGCGCGUAGGCGGCGCGGGAAGUCAUCGGUGAAAGUUCAGGGCUCAACUCUGAAUCGGCCGGUGAUACUCUCGUGCUCGAGCACUGUAGAGGCAGGUGGAAUUCCGGGUGUAGCGGUGGAAUGCGUAGAGAUCCGGAAGAACACCGGUGGCGAAGGCGGCCUGCUGGGCAGUAGCUGACGCUGAUGCGCGACAGCGUGGGGAGCAAACAGGAUUAGAUACCCUGGUAGUCCACGCCGUAAACGAUGGGCACUAGGUGCUUGGGGGAGCGACCCCCUGAGUGCCGGCGCUAACGCAUUAAGUGCCCCGCCUGGGGAGUACGGCCGCAAGGCUGAAACUCAAAGGAAUUGACGGGGGCCCGCACAAGGC